UCCUACGGGGGGCAGCAGUGGGGAAUAUUGGGCAAUGGGCGCAAGCCUGACCCAGCAACGCCGCGUGAAGGAAGAAGGCUUUCGGGUUGUAAACUUCUUUUGACAGGGAAGAGCAGAAGACGGUACCUGUCGAAUAAGCCACGGCUAACUACGUGCCAGCAGCCGCGGUAAUACGUAGGUGGCAAGCGUUGUCCGGAUUUACUGGGUGUAAAGGGCGUGUAGCCGGGCUGACAAGUCAGAUGUGAAAUCCGGGGGCUCAACCCCGGAACUGCUUUGGAAACUGUGCAGCUAGAGUGCGGGAGAGG
rnacentral:rRNA from 1 species